rnacentral:rRNA from 1 species
AUUGAACGCUGGCGGCAGGCCUAACACAUGCAAGUCGAGCGGAUGAAGGGAGCUUGCUCCUGGAUUCAGCGGCGGACGGGUGAGUAAUGCCUAGGAAUCUGCCUGGUAGUGGGGGAUAACGUCCGGAAACGGGCGCUAAUACCGCAUACGUCCUGAGGGAGAAAGUGGGGGAUCUUCGGACCUCACGCUAUCGGAUGAGCCUAGGUCGGAUUAGCUAGUUGGUGGGGUAAAGGCCUACCAAGGCGACGAUCCGUAACUGGUCUGAGAGGAUGAUCAGUCACACUGGAACUGAGACACGGUCCAGACUCCUACGGGAGGCAGCAGUGGGGAAUAUUGGACAAUGGGCGAAAGCCUGAUCCAGCCAUGCCGCGUGUGUGAAGAAGGUCUUCGGAUUGUAAAGCACCUUAAGUUGGGAGGAAGGGCAGUAAGUUAAUACCUUGCUGUUUUGACGUUACCAACAGAAUAAGCACCGGCUAACUUCGUG